AGCACAUCUCCACUAAUCACCUAGCAGUUAUCUACCCGGGCUGUUCACCUCUGCACCUCCAGUUCGUUACAACCAUUCCAGUGAUCCCAUCUCUGGACCUGCUGCUCCCCUGCUUUCCUGCUGCCUGCUCGCCUCACCACCCAGUUCGCAUCGCAACCAGCCUCUCCACCCAACUCCCAUCACCGCUUACCUGGCCACACCUGGAGCUACUCAACUAGACUAUCCCUCUCCGUUUUAUUCCAAGUUUGUUCUAAUAAACACUUAAACUGCU